CCAAUAGCGUAUAUUAAAGUUGUUGCAGUUAAAAAGCUCGUAGUUGAAUUUCGGGACCAAUCUGCCGGUCGUGCCUCCGGUACGCACUGGUUUUAUUGGUUUCUCCCUUCUGACGAACCAUGAUGUCAUUAAUUUGGUGUCAUGGGGAAUCAGGACUGUUACUUUGAAAAAAUUAGAGUGUUUAUAGCAGGCUCACGCUUGAAUACAUUAGCAUGGAAUAAUGAAAUAGGACGUUUGACCCUAUUUUGUUGGUUUCUAGGAUCGACGUAAUGAUUAAUAGGGAUAGUUGGGGGCAUUAGUAUUCAAUUGUCAGAGGUGAAAUUCUUGUAUUUAUUGAAGACUAACUACUGCGAAAGCAUUUGCCAAGGAUGUUUUCAUUAAUCAAGAACGAAAGUUAGGGGAUCGAAGACGAUCAGAUACCGUCGUAGUCUUAACCAUAAACUAUGCCGACUAGGGAUCGGAUGAUGUUAAUUUUUUAAUGACUCAUUCGGCGCCUUACG
rnacentral:misc_RNA from 1 species